rnacentral:rRNA from 1 species
GAUGAACGCUAGCGGCAGGCCUAAUACAUGCAAGUCGAACGGUGUCUUCGGACAUAGUGGCGCACGGGUGCGUAACACGUAUGCAACCUACCUUACAUUGGGGGAUAGCCUUUCGAAAGGGAGAUUAAUACCGCAUAAGACAGUAGCUGGGCAUCCAGCAGCUGUUAAAGAUUUAUCGAUGUAAGCUGGGCAUGCGUCCAAUUAGCUAGUUGGUGAGACAACGGCUCACCAAGGCAAUGAUUGGUAGGGGAACUGAGAGGUCAAUCCCCCACACUGGCACUGAGAUACGGGCCAGACUCCUACGGGAGGCAGCAGUAGGGAAUAUUGGGCAAUGGACGCAAGUCUGACCCAGCCAUGCCGCGUGCAGGAUGAAGGCGUUAUGCGUUGUAAACUGCUUUUAUACAGGAAGAAACGACUCUUGCGAGAGGCAUUGACGGUACUGUAUGAAUAAGCACCGGCUAACUCCGUGCCAGCAGCCGCGGUAACAC